rnacentral:lncRNA from 1 species
UGCUGGGAUUACAGGUGUAUGCCACACCCGAUUCCACAAUUUUCUCUUAAAUUUGGGACUGACCACUGCUGCGAGGCCUGGGGUCAGCCCUUACUCGAGUGUGCAUCCCACUGACUCAGUUCCUCAGUUGGCUCCACCACUGUGUGCCCAACAGAGAGCGCUAACCUCAGCCAGCGACUCUCCUCCCUCACACCCGAGGCCUGCAGGGAUUGGCUCUGAGAGAAGCGGAGCCUAAUCUUUUGCUUUUCUCACCUCUGUGGGAUGCACAGGCACAUCUGUCCUAAGAGAGGAAGGCUCACCAAAUCUGCCUGGCCGGCAAGACCACUGAUUAAAAUCACAGCCCCAGACACCAAAAGAGACCUUUUCUGACCAAAUUUUCAAGUGAGGAAACCCAGGCCAAAAGGGAGAAAUGAAUUCCAACGUGUUUUUGGAAUACCAACUCCCAAGAGAGGAAACCUCAGCAGAUGGAGCUGAGCCCCAACCCCACAGCGUGCAAGGCCAAGGUCACUAGCACACCAGUCACAUUCUUUGGUUCCAGGAAACCCCAGCUCCCAGUCAGCCCUGUGUGCUCCCCACAAUCUGUUCCUGUCAGUACUUGCCGGCGGUGCUUGGUCCAGUGAAGGCCAGUUUCAGUCUUUCAGUGAAGUACUCACUGAACCAGACUGUGGGCUGGGGUCCCAUGUUAUCAGGGUCCAGAACAUUCACCUACUUAAAAGUCCAGCCCACAGCCUCACCCCUGCCUCAUAAAUUGUACACAGUUUGGCUCAUCAGAUGCUCCAGGAAACAGGUGCCAACAGCGGCCAGAAUCAGCAGUAGGCGCCCCUCAAACUCCACGAAUGUGAUUAGCCAUCCUUUGAACAGCAAGAACAGGGGACUCAGCAGAUUUAGCUGCAGGUACCCCUCAGAAACACGCUGAGACAUAACCACACUGGCCUGAAGGCAGCUACCUGCAGUCCCUCUCAUUUAGUGCCCAACCUGGCUGGGCUAACCUGGUAAUAUUAUCCUGACUUCCUGCUCCAAAGCCCUCACCUAAAGCCUUGUUCACGCAGAAGCCACGCCACCCCCUUGGGUUCCACUGCUAGGGUCUGUUGUUCAGAAUGCAGAUUUGAGGACCUCAACUGUUCACACUGUCUGUAGAGCUGAGAAAGGAACCUGGCACAGAGGUAUCUGUAAUCCAACUCUCAAGAAGGUGAGGCAGGGGGACUGCUAUGAGUUCUAGAGCCUGGGCUGUAGUGUGAGACCACACUUUCCCCAAAGACACCCAUCAAUCAAAAGCUGACAGGCGCAGGGCAGCACUGACAUCUGACCUCACUUUCCUGCACUUGUAAGACCGGAAGAAAAGGCACAUCACCCCGAGGGAGUCCCCUGCAGUGCCCCCGGGGCCUCACUAUUCUCUGCUGUCUCUGGGAAGGGGCGAAGAAGUCCCUGGCACACAGCACAGCUCCAGGUCAGCAGAGACUGACGCCUGACGCAGAAUCUUACACCUCUAUCCCCAUGGAGAGUACGACCCGAAACAGUCCCCGAGGAGGAAGCUAGUCCCAGAGGAUCCAAUCCGGAAAGAGUUUAAUAAAUUGGGAAGAAAAUGGCCCAGGUGAGGCAGCAGGGCAAGAGGACUCCCGACAGAGGCCACUGUCCACUGGUGCCCUGGCUGGUCUCAGUGGGCACAUGGGCCCUGUCCCUGCAGAAUCACCACACGCAGAGACUUCACGCGUGCCCUGGCAUGAGACCUGACAACUGUGGUUUGCUAUGGAGUGGCCGCUCCACUCGCUCUUCUAUGCUGGCUUGGCACACCACACAUGCAAAGCAAGGAGACUCCACAGACAUCACCAAACAGCUAAUUUUGGCAAAAA